GAUUUCAACUAGUAUAGGGCUG
rnacentral:siRNA from 1 species